GAAAUGCGAUAAGUAAUGUGAAUUGCAGAAUUCAGUGAAUCAUCGAAUCUUUGAACGCACAUUGCGCCCGCCAGUAUUCUGGCGGGCAUGCCUGUCCGAGCGUCAUUUCAACCAUCAAGCCCCCGGGCUUUUGUUGGGGACCUGCGGCUGCCCGCAGGCCCUGAAAACCAGUGGCGGGCUCGCUGUCACACCGAGCGUAGUAGCAAUCACCUCGCUCAGGGCGUGCUGCGGGUUCCGGCCGUUAAACAGCCUUACAAAACCCAAGGUUGACCUCGGAUCAGGUAGGAAGACCCGCUGAACUUAAGC
rnacentral:misc_RNA from 1 species